rnacentral:rRNA from 1 species
GACGAACGCUGGCGGCGUGCUUAACACAUGCAAGUCGAACGGAAAGGCCCUGCUUUUGUGGGGUGCUCGAGUGGCGAACGGGUGAGUAACACGUGAGUAACCUGCCCUUGACUUUGGGAUAACUUCAGGAAACUGGGGCUAAUACCGGAUAGGAGCUCCUGCUGCAUGGUGGGGGUUGGAAAGUUUCGGCGGUUGGGGAUGGACUCGCGGCUUAUCAGCUUGUUGGUGGGGUAGUGGCUUACCAAGGCUUUGACGGGUAGCCGGCCUGAGAGGGUGACCGGCCACAUUGGGACUGAGCUACGGCCCAGACUCCUCCGGGAGGCAGCAGUGGGGAAUAUUGCACAAUGGGCGGAAGCCUGAUGCAGCAGCGCCGCGUGCGGGAUGACGGCCUUCGGGUUGUAUACCGCUUUCGCCUGUGACGAAGCGUGAGUGACGGUAAUGGGUAAAGAAGCACCGGCUAACUACGUG